UUGAAAUCUAAGUUGUGAAUAUAGUGUUGUUGAACUCUAGAUAAACAUAAACUAGAGAACAAGAAUAUGGAAAUGAACUCCAGUGAUGACCCUAGAAGUUAUUAUUGUUAUCUAUUAAUGGCUCAUUUGGAUCAAUUGUGUGUAGAGCAACACGCACCUAAUGAGAAUUUAUAAGUUCUCACUCUAUUAUGGUUGAUGUUUUUUAUGACUAUUCAUUGCCGGUGAGGUGCGUGAUCGCAGCACAACGUCGCGAGUUAGAUUAACUGUGGCUAGUCGGUCUAGAAAGUAUUAUUUUUGAUUAAGUUAACAUAACAUUUUGGAUAGAUCAAAUAUUGUAAAUUGUAAAGAUUUAAUAUUGUAAGGGUUAAAUUUAGUAGUAUUAAUUUUAUGCUUCAUGUACGUGUGAUUUGUAUGGGUUGAUAUAUAUUAUG
rnacentral:lncRNA from 1 species